GAUGAAGAACGCAGCGAAAUGCGAUAAGUAAUGUGAAUUGCAGAAUUCAGUGAAUCAUCGAGUCUUUGAACGCACAUUGCGCCCCCUGGUAUUCCGGGGGGCAUGCCUGUCCGAGCGUCAUUGCUGCCCUCAAGCACGGCUUGUGUGUUGGGCCCCCGCCCCCCGGCUUCGGGGGGCGGGCCCCAAAGGCAGCGGCGGCACCGCGUCCGGUCCUCGAGCGUAUGGGGCUUCGUCACCCGCUCUGUAGGCCCGGCCGGCGCCCGCCGGCGACCCCAAUCAAUCUUUCCAGGUUGACCUCGGAUCAGGUAGGGAUACCCGCUGAACUUAAGCAUAUCAAUAAGCGGAGGA
rnacentral:misc_RNA from 1 species